GAUGAACGCUGGCGGCGUGCCUAAUACAUGCAAGUCGAACGCUGAAGGAAGGAGCUUGCUCUUUCCGGAUGAGUUGCGAACGGGUGAGUAACGCGUAGGUAACCUGCCUGGUAGCGGGGGAUAACUAUUGGAAACGAUAGCUAAUACCGCAUAACAUCAGAUGUUGCAUGAUAUCUACUUAAAAGGUGCAAUUGCACCACUACCAGAUGGACCUGCGUUGUAUUAGCUAGUUGGUGAGGUAACGGCUCACCAAGGCGACGAUACAUAGCCGACCUGACAGGGUGAUGAGCCACACUGGGACUGAGACAAGGCCCAGACUCAUACGGGAGGCAGCAGUAGGGAAUCUUCGGCAAUGGACGGAAGUCUGACCGAGCAACGCCGCGGGAGUGAAGAAGGUUUUCGGAUCGUAAAGAUCUGUUGUAAGAGAAGAACGAGUGUGAGAGUGGAAAGAUCACACUGUGACGGUAACUUACCAGAAAGGGACGGCUAACUACGUG
rnacentral:rRNA from 1 species